rnacentral:misc_RNA from 1 species
CACUGGCUUGCAAGGGAA